rnacentral:rRNA from 1 species
UACAGGUGGUGCAUGGUUGUCGUCAGCUCGUGUCGUGAGAUGUUGGGUUAAGUCCCAUAACGAGCGCAACCCCUAUCGUUAGUUACCAUCAUUAAGUUGGGGACUCUAGCGAUACUGCCGGUGAUAAACCGGAGGAAGGUGGGGACGACGUCAAAUCAUCAUGCCCUUUAUGACUUGGGCUACACACGUGCUACAAUGGCAGAUACAGAGGGCAGCGAAAGAGCGAUCUGAAGCGAAACUCACAAAGUCUGUCCCAGUUCGGAUUGUACUCUGCAACUCGAGUACAUGAAGUUGGAGUUGCUAGUAAUCGCGAAUCAGAAUGUCGCGGUGAAUGCGUUCCCGGGUCUUGUACACACCGCCCGUCACACCAUGGGAGUUGGCAAUACCCGAAGCCUGUGAGCGAACCUUUUAGGACGCAGCAGUCGAAGGUAGGGUCAGUAACUGGGGUGAAGUCGUAACAAGGUAGCCGUAUCGGAAGGUGCGGCUGGAUCACCUCCUUU